rnacentral:rRNA from 1 species
AACGAACGCUGGCGGCAUGCCUAACACAUGCAAGUCGAACGAGACCUUCGGGUCUAGUGGCGCACGGGUGCGUAACGCGUGGGAACCUGCCCUUAGGUUCGGAAUAACUCCCCGAAAGGGGUGCUAAUACCGGAUAAUGUCUUCGGACCAAAGAUUUAUCGCCUUUGGAUGGGCCCGCGUUGGAUUAGCUAGUUGGUAGGGUAAAAGCCUACCAAGGCGACGAUCCAUAGCUGGUCUGAGAGGAUGAUCAGCCACACUGGGACUUAGACACGGCCCAGACUCCUACGGGAGGGAGCAGUGGGGAAUAUUGGACAAUGGGCGAAAGCCUGAUCCAGCAAUGCCGCGUGAGUGAUGAAGGCAUUAGGGUUGUAAAGCUCUUUUACCCGGGAUGAUAAUGACAGUACCGGGAGAAUAAGCUCCGGCUAACUCCGUG